GUCUGUUCUGCCCGUUGAAUGAAAAUUUGAAAGGCCGCAGUAUCUUGACUGUGCAAAGGUAGCAUAAUCACUAGUUUUUUAAUUGAAGGCUUGAAUGAAUGAUCUGACAAGAACCAAACUGUCUCUUUUGGAGAAAUUGAAUUUUAUUUUUAAGUGAAAAAGCUUAAAUACUUAAAAAAGACGAUAAGACCCUAUAAAUCUUUAUGUAAAUUAAUCUUUAAUUCUAAAUCUAAAAUUAAAAAAAUUGAAGAAUUAGUUCAUUGUGCUGGGGCGGCAGAGAUAUAAUAAAUAAACUGUCUCUAAUGAAAAACAAAUGUUUUUGUGUGGUGAAAGAUCCUAAUUAUGGAUUAAAAGAGUAAGUUACUUUAGGGAUAACAGCAUAAUUUCUUUUGAGAGUUCAAAUCGAAAAAGAAGCUUGUGACCUCGAUGUUGAAUUAAGGAAUCCU
rnacentral:rRNA from 1 species